UUUAUGAAAUACACACACUUUUUAAAACUUACUAAUUUGAACAAUAUACCCGUGAGUUUUCGGUAUUAACGGUAUUAACCACACGGACUCCUUUCUACUCCACCCAAUAGCCCAAUACCCCAUCUUCUCUCCUCCCCUGUUCCUCCGAUCAAUCUUCCUCCAAAACCUAAAUUAAAAAAGGGAUCCAUUAAACAAAUUAAGAUGAUAACAACACAAAUCCAACCAUUCUCCCUUCAAUCAAAUCAAUCUAGAAUCAAGGUUCUACACUCUCUGAUUCGCGUUGGGAAAGAUUUCCACCUUGUUCGUCUUCACAGUAACAUCUUCUAAUGAAAUAUAUGUUGGGUUUUCUAUGGUUACAAAUUACCAUACAAUUAAUUUUUAGACAGUUUGAUAUGACUUCUCCCUAUCCUUUCAAAAAAUACGAUAUCAUCAACUAGUACCAAUGCAUAAGGAGUUGGUAGUAUCAAGGGUAAAGACGCGAUCGAGUGAAGUUAGAAUUGGAAGCUCUUGCCAUUUGGAAGGUUGGCAUUUUGGAUAAUUUGGGUAGAUGAUCCCUUUGGUACCCAUUGGCUUUUGAUACAUGCUCUUUGGUCAAAUCUUUUUUUGGAUGAACUUCUAAAAGUUGUGGUUGUGUUUGAAACGCUAGUAAUGGUAGAAUUUGUAACUAACUUGACGAUUA